GACGAACGCUGGCGGCGUGCUUAACACAUGCAAGUCGAACGGAAAGGCCCUGCUUUUGUGGGGUGCUCGAGUGGCGAACGGGUGAGUAACACGUGAGUAACCUGCCCUUGACUUUGGGAUAACUUCAGGAAACUGGGGCUAAUACCGGAUAGGAGCUCCUGCUGCAUGGUGGGGGUUGGAAAGUUUCGGCGGUUGGGGAUGGACUCGCGGCUUAUCAGCUUGUUGGUGGGGUAGUGGCUUACCAAGGCUUUGACGGGUAGCCGGCCUGAGAGGGUGACCGGCCACAUUGGGACUGAGAUACGGCCCAGACUCCUACGGGAGGCAGCAGUGGGGUAUAUUGCACAAUGGGCGGAAGCCUGAUGCAGCAACGCCGCGUGCGGGAUGACGGCCUUCGGGUUGUAAACCGCUUUCGCCUGUGACGAAGCGUGAGUGGCGGUAAUGGGUAAAGAAGCACCGGCUAACUACGUG
rnacentral:rRNA from 1 species